GAGAGCUUUGUCCAAUCGUACCAAGCCCAAAGAUAUGACUUCCAAGAGAGGGGAAGCUCUAUGACCAACCCCAACUAUCCAUGCAUGAGAGUAGAUUUCCCUAGAUGGGAAGAAGGAGACCCGAUUGGUUGGAUCUCGCGCGCGGAGCGAUAUUUUCGGUACCAUAAAACCGCGGAUGCAUCUAUGGUGAAAAUUGCAGCUAUACAUCUUGAAGGGGAUGCUAUACAG
rnacentral:lncRNA from 1 species